UGUGACAUACCACUUGUUGCCUCGGCGGAUCAGCCCGCUCCCGGUAAAACGGGACGGCCCGCCAGAGGACCCCUAAACUCUGUUUCUAUAUGUAACUUCUGAGUAAAACCAUAAAUAAAUCAAAACUUUCAACAACGGAUCUCUUGGUUCUGGCAUCGAUGAAGAACGCAGCAAAAUGCGAUAAGUAAUGUGAAUUGCAGAAUUCAGUGAAUCAUCGAAUCUUUGAACGCACAUUGCGCCCGCCAGUAUUCUGGCGGGCAUGCCUGUUCGAGCGUCAUUUCAACCCUCAAGCACAGCUUGGUGUUGGGACUCGCGUUAAUUCGCGUUCCUCAAAUUGAUUGGCGGUCACGUCGAGCUUCCAUAGCGUAGUAGUAAAACCCUCGUUACUGGUAAUCGUCGCGGCCACGCCGUUAAACCCCAACUUCUGAAUGUUGACCUCGGAUCAGGUAGGAAUACCCGCUGAACUUAAGCAUA
rnacentral:rRNA from 1 species